GUUAGUUAGGCAAGCUGGUUGCUUUUUAAGCCUUCAUACCUACAUAAUAGGAAAAUUGAGUGCAUGCUUACAUACUUGGCUUUCGUAUUGUUUUAAAUUCUUAGUUAAGUAAGGACCGGGCAAGACCGUUGCCAGCCGCCGCGGUAAUACCGGCGGCUCGAGUGGUAACCGCUUUUCUUGGGUUUAAAGGGUCUGUAGCUGGAUGGAUAAGUCUCUUGGGAAAUCUUUCAGCUUAACUGUUAGGCUUUCAGGAGAUACUGUGUUGUUCGAGACCGGGAGAGGUGAGAGGUACUUCAGGGGUAGGGGUGAAAUCUUGUAAUCCUUGAAGGACCACCAGUGGCGAAGGCGUCUCACCAGAACGGAUCUGACGGCAAGGGACGAAAGCUAGGGGCACGAACCGGAUUAGAUACCCGGGUAGUCCCAGCCGUAAACGAUGCCNCCUCUAUAGGGGCUAGACUGGCAGGGAACGCAGGAAUGGCAGCGAUCGCAGCACUCAC
rnacentral:rRNA from 1 species